rnacentral:lncRNA from 1 species
UUAAAAUUUAAGAGUUGAAUAGAAUUUAACCAAUGGGCUGCAAUCCAAUAGGCAAGAAUGUCAUAUAGAAACCCAAGUUCCCUUGGACAUUAGAAUCAAGCAACAAGUAAUGCAUAACAUAUUAACUUGAAGAGCAAUGCAUCAAAUAAAGAUAGCCACAUCCAAGCUUUAGCCACUCCAUAAUCUUCUUCAAAUUGGCUUAUGUAGCAG